CGGAGCGAUCAUUCCAGCACUAAAUGAAGCGUGCUUGGGCGAGAGUAGUUAUAGGAUGGGUGACCUCCUAGGAAGUGCUCGUGUUGAACCUC
rfam:Lupinus angustifolius cultivar Tanjil contig_28871, whole genome shotgun sequence.